rnacentral:rRNA from 1 species
UGGGGAAUUUUGGACAAUGGGCGAAAGCCUGAUCCAGCAAUGCCGCGUGUGUGAAGAAGGCCUUCGGGUUGUAAAGCACUUUUGUCCGGAAAGAAAUCCUUGGCUCUAAUACAGUCGGGGGAUGACGGUACCGGAAGAAUAAGCACCGGCUAACUACGUGCCAGCAGCCGCGGUAAUACGUAGGGUGCAAGCGUUAAUCGGAAUUACUGGGCGUAAAGCGUGCGCAGGCGGUUUGCUAAGACCGAUGUGAAAUCCCCGGGCUCAACCUGGGAACUGCAUUGGUGACUGGCAGGCUAGAGUAUGGCAGAGGGGGGUAGAAUUCCACGUGUAGCAGUGAAAUGCGUAGAGAUGUGGAGGAAUACCGAUGGCGAAGGCAGCCCCCUGGGCCAAAUACUGACGCUCAUGCACGAAAAGCGUGGGGAGCAAAACAGGAUUAGAUACCCUGGUAGUCCACGCCCUAAAACGAUGUCAACUAGUUGUUGGGGAUUCAUUUCCUUAGUAACGUAGCUAACGCGUGAAGUUGACCGCCUGGGGAGUACGGUCGCAAGAUUAAAACUUAAAGGAAUUGAC